rnacentral:tRNA from 1 species
AAAAAGGUAAGCUAAAUCUCAAGCUAAUGGGUUCAUACCCCGUAAAUAGGAUAAUCCUCCUUUUUA